rnacentral:lncRNA from 1 species
UAGUGUCUGGAAAUGCUUCUCUUUACUCUCUUGUUUUGCUGACAGGUUUGUUGCCAUGCCAUGUGUGUGCAUUAUUUAUUGAUGGAACAGGGAGGAAAGUGACACGGAAAGAAGUUUUCUGUGACUGGUCAGCCUGUUGAUGGUACGUCAGUCAGCUUGUAUCACAGCCGUGAAAUCCCUGGACACAGCCUACUCAUCAAGCAAAAGCAAGCUUUACUUAGGUUCAUGUUUCCAGGAGUUCAAGUCCAAGAUGGGUGGCCUCAUUGAUUUGGGUCUUUGACAAAGGUGGUAGAGCAUCAAGGAGCUGACAGAAAAAAAAAAGGCAGAGACUGUGAGGACCCACAGCUCCUUCACGAGCACAGCUCUAGGGACCCAAGGACCUUCGGCGAGGCCUCAUCUCCGCCCGGUCCACGCCGCCACCAGUGCCGCCGCCCUGGGGACCGGGUGUCUCUAAACCGUCCUCUGACAAUGCUCAUCCGCACCACAGCUCCAGACACUGAGGAGACGCUAAAGAAAUGAGAAACAGGUUCCUGCUCGUGUAGACCACAGGGUGUUCUGGUUAAGUUUAGCCUGAAUUAUGAGAGAAGAAAUGUGAUUUUUAAAAUUCAAAAAUAAAACAUGGCUGGAGGAGAA